rnacentral:rRNA from 1 species
UACGUAGGGUGCGAGCGUUAAUCGGAAUUACUGGGCGUAAAGCGUGCGCAGGCGGUUCGUUAUGUCCGAUGUGAAAGCCCCCGAGCUUAACUUGGGGAAUGGCAUUGGAAACUGGCGGGCUGGAGUGCGGGCAGAGGGGGGUGGAAUUCCCACGUGUAGCAGUGAAAUGCGUAGAGAUGUGGGAGGAACACCGAUGGCGGAAGGCAGCCCCCCUGGGUUAACACUGACGCUCAGGCACGAAAGCGUGGGAGCAAGCAGG